ACGGCGAAGCAUGCGGUCGCGGGAAACCGAGGAAAGUCCGGGCUUCACAGGGCAGGAUGCCGGAUAACGUCCGGCUGGGGUAACCCACGGGAAAGCGCAACAGAAAACAACCGCCGGGCUCAUGAGUCCGGUAAGGGUGAAAAGGCAGUGCAAGAGACUACCGCCCGGGCAGUAAUGUCCGGGGCAUAUGCAAGCCCCAUCCGAAGCAAGGCUGAAAAGGAGCGAUACGGCGGCCCGUCGUGCUCCAGGUAAGCCGCUUGAAGAGACCCUGACGGGUUCUUCAGAUCCGUCCGGCGACGGGCGGGCAAGACAGAUGACCGCACAUCGACAGAACCCGGCUUAUCGCUUCGCCGAAGCU
rnacentral:RNase_P_RNA from 1 species